rnacentral:rRNA from 1 species
GAUGAACGCUGGCGGCGUGCCUAAUACAUGCAAGUCGAGCGAACGGACGAGAAGCUUGCUUCUCUGACGUUAGCGGCGGACGGGAGUGUAACACGUGGAUAACCUACCUAUAAGACUGGGAUAACUUCGGGAAACCGGAGCUAAUACCGGAUAAUAUUCUGAACCGCAUGGUUCAAAAGUGAAAGACGGCGUUGCUGUCACUUAUAGAUGGAUCCGCGCUGCAUUAGCUGGUUGGUAAGGUAACGGGUUAUCAAGGCAACGAGGCAUAGACGACCUGAGAGAGUGGUCGGCCACACGGGAGCUGGAACACGGUCCAUAGUACUGAGGGAGGCAGCAGUAGGGAAUCUGCCGCAGUGGGCGGAAGCAUGACGGAGCAACGCCGCGUCAGAGGUGAAGGUGUUCGGAUCGUAAAACUCUGUUACUAGGGAAGAACAGAUGUGUCAGUAACUGAGCACAUCGUGACGGUACCUAAUAAGAAAGCCACGGCUAACUACGUG